rnacentral:ncRNA from 1 species
UCCCAUGCAGAGGCGGGAACACUUAUACAAGAUGAGAAGACCUUGUGAAGCUUAAGACACAUAACUCAAAUUUACUCCCAUUCAACCUAUUGGAACAAACUGUAUAAGCCACUGAAUUAUAGUCUUUGGUUGAGAUGACCUCGGAGCAUAAAAUAACCUCCGAAUGAAAUAACCUAGAUUAACCCAUCUAAGUAUAUUAAUACCAGUAAUUGAUCCAUCUCUUGAGCAACAGAACAAAUUACCCCAGGGAUAACAGCACAAUCCUAUUUGAGAGCCUAUAUCGAAAAUUAGGGUUUAUGACCUCGAUGUCGGAUCAGGACAUCCAAAUGGUGUAACCGCUAUUAAUGGUUCGUUUGUUCAAUGAUUAAAGUCCUACGUGGUCUAAGUUCAAACCAGAGAAAUCCAGGUCGGUUUCUAUCUGUAAGU